rnacentral:rRNA from 1 species
UGGGGAAUAUUGCGCAAUGGGGGGAACCCUGACGCAGCCAUGCGCGUGAAUGAAGAAGGCCUUCGGGUUGUAAAGUUCUUUCGGUAUUGUUGAGGAAGAUUGAUGUGUUAAUAGCACAUCAAAUUGACGUUAAAUACAGAAGAAGCACCGGCUAACUCCGUGCCAGCAGCCGCGGUAAUACGGAGGGUGCGAGCGUUAAUCGGAAUAACUGGGCGUAAAGGGCACGCAGGCGGUUAUUUAAGUGAGGUGUGAAAGCCCCGGGCUUAACCUGGGAAUUGCAUUUCAGACUGGGUAACUAGAGUACUUUAGGGAGGGGUAGAAUUCCACGUGUAGCGGUGAAAUGCGUAGAGAUGUGGAGGAAUACCGAAGGCGAAGCNAGCCCCUUGGGAAUGUACUGACGCUCAUGUGCGAAAGCGUGGGGAGCAAACAGGAUUAGAUACCCUGGUAGUCCACGCUGUAAACGCUGUCGAUUUGGGGGUUGGGGUUUAACUCUGGCGCCCGUAGCUAACGUGAUAAAUCGACCGCCUGGGGAGUACGGCCGCAAGUNA